UAAACAUUAGACGUCUUAUGGACGUGCAGAUCAUGUCUAUAUUGCGUCGGUCGGUCCAAGACCAAUUCUGUACGUCUACACGACGUGCAAACUAGGUCCGCUAUUUGGACGUCUAACUAUGACCCCACUUGGACGUCAAUAUGCAGUUAAACAUUUGAACGUCGGACUAGGUCACUUUUUUGGACGUCAUGGGGACGUCUAAUACAGGUGCAGGAAAUUAACAUUAUUUAAGAAUAUAUUUAUUUUUAAAUGUAUGUCAAAAUUGUUGUUAUCAAUAUUGUUAAUCACUAUGAAUAUAGAUUAUUUAUGAUUAAGCAUCAUUUAUUUCUAAUUAUUUAUUUGAGUAUUAUAUUUUUUAUCUAUUUAAUUAAUUAACGAAUGUAGGUAUUUAUUUACGUAUGUUUUUAUUUUUAUUUGGAAAUGCAAUUUAUGUGGAAAAUUGUUAAGUUGAUUUCAACCAGUCAACACCACUCUGAUUUGCUGAGACCGCACGUCAUCAUAAACUCCACUCUGAUAUGCCUAGGCAAAACACCCUAAACAUUUUUUGGCUGCUGCAGUAGCUCAGCUCAGCUCAGCUCAGCUCAUUCAGUUCAGCUCCGCUCCGGACCGGACUCAGCUGCCAAGCUAUAAGGUAAGACGAUAUGUAUAAUAAGUUAAUGUAUUUGUAGUGUUAGUUGUUUUAGCUCUGUGGUCUUAACCUGAACCUGCUGGCGUUGCCUCUCUUCCCAGGCAGUUAGCUAACUAGCUAGCUAGCUAACGAUAGCUAAACAGUGGCCAUAGUUAAAAUGGAAUUGGAAUUACUUUUGAGAACGACCGUAAUGCAAAUAAUAUUUACUGUAACCGAAGCUUUAACGUAGAAGCAUUGUCCGGUCAUUAAGUCAAUGCACUAACCAGAGCUAGGCUGAUAAGCCAAUCUAAGCUAAAUCAAAGAACCGUCUUUGGCUAAAUUCGCUAAGCUAGCGUUAAGUUAUAUAAGUUUGUGGCACCCACAAUUAACCUAGGCAACUGGGGGCAAUAUCAAGUGCAUUUUGAAUAGCCUGAAGAAGUAAGUUUAUGUUAAUAUUACAUAAAUAAGGCAAUUUAAAAUAGUUUGUUGUGGGAAAACAUUUAUUAAAAUAGCUUAAUAUGAUGUGUGAGAAUUAAAACGGCACGAUAAUUCUGGUCAGGUGUUAAAUGUGUAUUCCCGCCUUUAGCUUAGCGUUAGCUAAGCCAUAGCAUGAAGAAGUAAGUUUAUGUUAAUAUUACAUAAAUAAGGCAAUUUAAAAUAGUUUGUUGUGGGAAAAAAAUAUUAAAAUAGCUUAAUAUGAUGUGUGAGAAUUAAAACGGCACGAUAAUUCUCGUCAGGUGUUAAAUGUGUAUUCCCGCCUUUAGCUUAGCGUUAGCUUAUCGUUAGCUUAGCAUUAGCUAAGCCAUAGCAUGAAGAAGUAAGUUUAUGUGAAUAUUACAUAAAUAAGGCAAUUUAAAAUAGUUUGUUGUGGGAAAAAAAAUAUUAAAAUAGCUUAAUAUGAUGUGUGAGAAUUAAAACGGCACGAUAAUUCUCGUCAGGUGUUAAAUGUGUAUUCCCGCCUUUAGCUUAGCGUUAGCUUAUCGUUAGCUUAGCAUUAGCUAAGCCAUAGCAUGAAGAAGUAAGUUUAUGUGAAUAUUACAUAAAUAAGGCAAUUUAAAAUAGUUUGUUGUGGGAAAAAAUUAAUUAAAAUAGCUUAAUAUGAUGUGUGAGAAUUAAAACGGCACGAUAAUUCUCGUCAGGUGUUAAAUGUGUAUUCCCGCCGUUAGCUUAGCGUUAGCUAAGCCAUAGUGUGAAGAAGUAAGUUUAUGUGAAUAUUACAUAAAUAAGGCAAUUUAAAAUAGUUUGUUGUGGGACAAAAAUAAAUGGCCAUCUUCAACAUUUUCUGAGAUUUCUAAUUUGUCUUUUUCUACUUGUGCAGAUGGAGUCAUGAAAUGUGACGGGACAGCCACCGAGGACUUCAUACUUCGGAGCAUCUCAAACAUGCACCACAAAGACGUGGAGGACACACCGCUGUCUCUCAGGACCUAGAAUCUUAAUGAAAGUAUAAUGAUGUUAAGGGAAGGUGUAGUGGAAAGGUGUGAUAGUGUUGAGGGAAGGUGUAAUGUUAAAGGUGUGAUAGUGUUGAGGGAAGGGGUAAUGUUAAAGGUAUAAUAUUGUUAAGGGAAGGUGUAAUGCAGGGGUCUCAAACUCAUUUUUGCCGAGGGCCACAUUGACAUAUUGGCUGUCCUCUGAGGGCCAGAUGUAACUUACAAAUAUAAGAAAAUGUAACCAGAUGUAAUAUAAAAUGAAUGUAAUUACUCCUUAAUGUUAAAUAACUCUCAAUAUACUAUUUAUCCAAUCAAAUAUUACAGUUGCAUGGAAAAAUGUUUGCUUGUUGCUGUAUUAACAUAAAUCCUUUUAAUUUGUCAUGUUAUGAAAUCCAAAAACUCCAUCAAUCAAGAACCAAACUAUUCAAGUGAAUAGAAAUUACAUCAAGUACAAGUUAUAUUAACUUUGAUCAAAACGUUUGAUACUGAAAUAAGGCUUAAUAAAUAUAAAAUCAAAAAUUGUGAGCUGUGACAGAUUUAGCAUUUCCUCAGAUUUAGCAGUUCCUCAUCCAACCACUAGUCGGAGCUGCAGCUGCAGCACCACAAGCCCGCAGUCUUUGCUUAGUCAGAGCUACAGCCCAGCCACGGGCUACAGGACUCAGCUGAGCCUGUCUGGAGCGUUUUGAAAUUUUUUAAGUUCUUCUGUGUAUGAAAUAAAAUAACCCCACUAACCGGAUAAUACAGCUCUCUACAGUUCAUCUUUCAGCCCAAGCAGCUAACAGCAGCAGUUUAGAGCAGCGUCACGGAGGCACUGCUGGGAUUACAUUAUAAACAGGUCAGUUAGCGCUGCUAACCUCAGGAUGUUUAUAACUACGGAGUUUAGUGAACACACCACGGCAGCAAGGUUAGACUGUUGAAGGCUACUGAAGACUACUAAAGCAAGCAACGCAGCGUAAGCAAAAAAAAAACAAAAACCACACACACACACACCAAAAUACAAGUUAAGAUAAAAUAUGAAAACGAACAUAAUAAAGCAUAAAUUAUUAAAUUGAAUUGCGGGCCAGAUGUAUGUUUAUUUUGUUAACCCGUGAGGGGCCGUAUGAAACCGCGUGGGCCGGUACUUUGAGACCCCUGGUGUAAUGUAAAGGUGUAAUAGUGUUGAGGGAAGGUAUAAUAUUGUUAAGGGAAGGUGUAAUGUUAAAGGUGUAAUAGUUUUGAGGGAAGGUGUAAUAGUUUUGAGGGAAGGUGUAAUGUUAAAGGUGUAAUAGUGUUGAGGGAAGGUAUAAUAUUGUUAAGGGAAGGUGUAAUGUAAAGCUGUAAUAGUUUUAAGGGAAGGUAAAUGUUUAGUGAAAUUGUUAUGGUGUGAAUCUAAGGUGUAUGUUAUGUUGAUGUAAAAUAAAGGCAUUAACCCCAAA